AAGUCUCCUGAAGGAACGUUGAAGACGACGACGUUGAUAGGCCGGGUGUGUAAGCGCAGCGAUGCGUUGAGCUAACCGGUACUAAUGAACCGUGAGGCUUAACCUU
rnacentral:rRNA from 35 species